rnacentral:rRNA from 1 species
AUGGAUCGGUUUCGAGAAGCUUUGGAGGCCUGUGAGCUCUGUGAUAUAGGAUAUGAAGGAGAUAAGUACACUUGGAGAAAUCAUAGUAAGGAGAUCAAAACGUAUAUUUGUGAGCGCCUGGAUAGGGCCACGGCAAACUCCGCUUGGUGUGAGUGGUUGUCUGAAUUCAAAGUGAUCAAUGCAGGCCCUCGGCAUUCGGAUCAUAGACCAGUGAUUGUUUCCACGGCGGGGGAAAGUAGAAGAAGAUUUGUCAGCGGAGACCGUGGCUUUCGCUUUCAGGCCUGGUGGUUACAAGAGGAGGGUUGCAGUGCAGAAGUUCAAGGGGCGUGGGAACAAGGCUGCCUGGAGGGAAGAGGGGAUGUCGCUACUGUGAUGCGGAUUGUAGCUGGGAGGAUGAAGAAAUAG